rnacentral:misc_RNA from 1 species
CACAAAUUGAAUAUGAAAGCCGAGCGCGGCUGCGCCUUCGGGCGUAGUCGCGGAGGCUAGAUUAUUUAUUACCCUUGUCUUUUGCGCACUUGUUGUUUCCUGGGCGGGUUCGCCCGCCACCAGGACCACAUUAUAAACCUUUUAUGCAGCUGCAAUCAGCGUCAGUACAACAAAUGUAAAAUCAUUUA